rnacentral:misc_RNA from 1 species
AACGCACAUUGCGCCCUUUGGUAUUCCGAAGGGCAUGCCUGUUCGAGCGUCAUUUCAACCCUCAAGCUCUGCUUGGUAUUGGGUCUCACCGCACGGUGGGCCUUAAAAUCAGUGGCGGUGCCAUCUUGGCUCUAAGCGUAGUAAAUCUCUCGCUCUGGGACCUCGGUGGUGCUUGCCAGCAACCCCAAAUUUUCUAUGGUUGACCUCGGAUCAGGUAGGGAUACCCGCUGAACUUAA